UCUCCGUUGGUGAACCAGCGGAGGGAUCAUUACCGAGUUCAUCCGAGUCCCAAACCCCUGUGACCAUACCGCACGCUGCUUCGGCGGAGCGCCCCGGCGCCCGCACCCCCCUCGGGGGGCGGCGGCCCGGACCCAAGGCGGCUACAGAGGGACCCAAACACUGCAUUCGCCUCGGCCUGAAUCUACAUCCGAGUAAAUUACAAAUGAAUCAAAACUUUCAACAACGGAUCUCUUGGCUCUG
rnacentral:misc_RNA from 1 species